GUCCUUAGUUACCAGCACGUUAUGGUGGGCACUCGUAAGGAGACUGCCGGUGACAAACCGGAGGAAGGUGGGGAUGACGUCAAGUCAUCAUGGCCCUUACGGCCUGGGCUACACACGUGCUACAAUGGUCGGUACAAAGGGUUGCCAAGCCGCGAGGUGGAGCUAAUCCCAUAAAACCGAUCGUAGUCCGGAUCGCAGUCUGCAACUCGACUGCGUGAAGUCGGAAUCGCUAGUAAUCGUGAAUCAGAAUGUCACGGUGAAUACGUUCCCGGGCCUU
rnacentral:rRNA from 1 species